rnacentral:misc_RNA from 2 species
AACGCAUAUUGCGCUCUUUGGUAUUCCGAAGAGCAUGCUUGUUUGAGUAUCAGUAAACACCUCAAAGACUUCAAUUUGUUUUGAAUGGCUUUGGACUUGAGCAAUCCCAACACCAGUCUUUACGAUCGGUGGAGGGUUGCUUGAAAUGCAGGUGCAGCUGGACAUUCUCCUGAGCUAAAAGCAUAUUUAUUUAGUCCCGUCAAACGGAUUAUUACUUUUGCUGCAGCUAACAUAAAGGGAGUUUGACCGUAUUGGCUGACUGAUGCAGGAUUUCACAAGGGUCGGCAACGAUUCUUGUAAAACUCGAUCUCAAAUCAAGUAAGACUACCCGCUGAACUUAA